GAUUAGGUGAGGGAGGGUCAUAACAACAAUAGGCCAUAGAUCUGCACUGAUCUCCAUCUAAACCAGAGAUAUACAUCUCAAAUAGAGCGUAAAGGCAUUGAUCUAAAUACGGAAUACCGGGAUUACUGUACUGGUUCAUGCUGUUUAAUGAGAACGCUUAUGUGAACACCUAAAUACACGAGGUUAAAGGUCAGACUUGGAGAUUUCAGCGUUCCAGCACUCCAUGUCUUCACAUCAGUCUUCAUUAACCGUCUGGAUCUCCUCAGUCUAUAUGCAAUGUCCACCUCUCUCACUCCCAACAAACAACAUAUGCUCUGUGAGCUGGCUACUGUUAGCCAUCAUAAUAGCAGAGCUGGGUGGAGGAGGGAUGAUGGAGGAGGGCUCUUUCAUUUCAUUUGCCUCGAUGUAGGAAGUAGCAUUCAAAAGUAAAUACUGAUGACAAAAGACUAAAUAAAAAAAGACUGAGUGCUGGGCCAGUUUUUCUUUUUUUUUUUUUAGCAUUUGAAGCUUGACCACAGCUGACAAAAGAAAGAACAAAACAGAGAGACUGUUUUUGAUUGUCAGUAAACAUGUCAGGCUGUUCAUACUUCUUUUCCUUUCCACGUCAAACAUAAUCCUUGUAUAAAUAGACCACAGGGUACGUACCUAACUUUGUGCUUAGUUAAAACUUUCAGUAUUUAUUUAUUUAUUUAUUCAUUUAUUUGUUUGUUCAUUUUUUUUUAUUUAGUCAUUCAAUUAUUUAUAAUUUUUUUAUUCAUUUAUUUAUUCAUUUAAGCAUUUAUUUAUUUAUUCCUUCAUUUAUUGAUUUAUUUAUUAAUUUAUGCAUUUAUUUAUUAAUAAUUUAUUUAUUUAGAUGUUUAUUUAUUUUUUAUUCGCAUUUACUUAUUUAUUUAUUUGUCCACUUAUUUAUUUAUUUUUUCAUUUAUUUAUUUAUGCAUUAAUUUAUUGGUUCGUUUAUUUAUUUUUUUAUUCAUUUAUGAAUUUAUUUUAAAUUUUGAUUUUUGAUUUUUAAUUAAUUAAUUUAUUUGUUUGUUUAUUUAUUUAUUUAUUUACUCAUGCAUUUAUAUGUUUAUUUAGUUAUUUGUUUAAUUAUUUAUUUAUUUAUUCGUUUAAUUAUUUAUUUAUGCAUUUAUUUAUUUGUUUGUUUUUUUGUUUGUUUGUUUGUUUGUUAAUUUAUUUAUGCAUACAUAUAUUUCCUUGUGUGGAGUUUGCAUGUUCUCCCUGCGUUUGUUUGGGUUUCCUUUGGGUGCUCCGGUUUCCCCCACAGUCCAAAGACGUGUGGUACAGGUGAAUUGGGUAGGAUAAAAUUGUCCGUAGUGUUUGUGUGUGUGUGAAUGAGUGUGUGUGGAUGUUUCCCAGGGAUGGGUUGUGGCUGGAAGGGCAUCCGUGCGUAAAAAACUUGCUGGAUGGGUUGGCGGUUCAUUGCGCUGUAGCGACCCCGGAUUAAUAAAGGGACCAAGACGACAGGUAAAUGAAUGAGUAUUUCCUUGAUUUAUUUUAUUUUGUUUUUAAGAAAACAGUCACAAACAAUUUGUUA
rnacentral:lncRNA from 1 species